ACAUUGGAGGGCAAGUCUGGUGCCAGCAGCCGCGGUAAUUCCAGCUCCAAUAGCGUAUAUUAAAGUUGUUGCAGUUAAAAAGCUCGUAGUUGGAUAUCUGCUGGAAGCAGCCAGUCCGCCCUUUGUGGGUGUGCACUUGGUGAAUUCUGGCAUCCUCCUGAUUGGUGUCAUCAUCACUUCAUUGUGUUGGUGGCAGCUGUCAGGACCGUUACUUUGAGAAAAUUAGAGUGUUUCAAGCAGGCUUGUUGCCUUGAAUACUGCAGCAUGGAAUAACAAGAUAGGAUUUCGGUUCUAUUUUGUUGGUUUCUAGGACUGAAAUAAUGAUUAAUAGGGACAGUUGGGGGCAUUCGUAUUUAACUGUCAGAGGUGAAAUUCUUAGAUUUGUUAAAGACGAACUACUGCGAGGCCUAUUUGC
rnacentral:rRNA from 1 species